UUUUUUUUUCCGGCAGCACAUAUACUAAAAUUGGAACAAUACAGAGGAGAUUAGCAUGGCCCC
ensembl:snRNA U6 U6 spliceosomal RNA